UACUAUACGCUCGACCUUACGGUAGCACUCCGUAAGGUCGACUGGUGGCAGCACGUUGAACGUCGGAUUUGAGUUUUUGAAACCAACGGUUGAGAUGUAAGCGCGGAUUGAAGGAAGAAAACCGGGGAAACCGGUUAUGGUUAUGUCGAGCACGUACACGGUCACUUAAAAGGUUGUUUUAGCCUAUCCGUCUGGCCCUCUUUCUCUCCCUAAACUUCUGCAAGCAGCCCUCUCUCCCUCAAUCCGUCACCAGACGCCCCGUGUAGCCUCUCUCUCUCUCUCUCUCUCUCUCUCUCUCUCACUCUCUCUCUCAAUGCAACCCUGGCCGUGCAACCCUCUCUCUCCCUCCUUCAAUCCCUACCACCACAAGUAGGGACAACCCACCCGUCGUCACUCCUUCUCUCCCUCAAUCGGUACCACCAGCUGCGACCGCCUCCACCCCUCUCUCCCUCAUUCCCUACCACCACGCUGUGCAGCCUCGGAUUGAGCGUUACAGAAUCCGAGUAAGGAAUAUUUGAACAGGUUUUGAAUGGGGACCUUGAGUUUUCAUCCAAUCCAUGGCCUAGUAUCUCUGAGAGUGCAAAAGAUUUAGCAUGGAGAAUGCUUAUUAGAGACCCAAAAAAGCAGCUGACCGCCCAUCAAGUUCUGUGUGAGUGUUUUUUUUAUAUAGCUAUAUCAUGUUUUAUAAUUUAGAGAUCUUGAAAGUGGUGAAAUAUUUAUGGUUUUGUUUAUUAGUGCAAAAAUACUUCUC